AGAGUUUGAUCCUGGCUCAGGAUGAACGCUGGCGGCGUGUCUAAGGCAUGCAAGUCGAACGGGUUACUGGAGUCAGCAAUGAUUUUAGUGACUAGUGGCAAACGGGUGAGUAACACAUUAGUAAUCUGCCCCAAAGUUCGGAAUAACGGUCCGAAAGGACCGCUAAUACCGGAUGUGAUCCAAGGAUGAUGUCCUUGGAGGAAAGCCCAAAAGGCGCUUUGGGAGGAACUUAUGGCUUAUCAGCUAGUUGGUGGGGUAAUGGCCCACCAAGGCUAUGACGAGUAGCAGGCGUGAGAGCGCGACCUGCCUCAGUGGAACUGAGACACUGUCCACACUCCUACGGGAGGCUGCAGUCGAGAAUUUUCCUCAAUGGGCGAAAGCCUGAAGGAGCGACGCCGCGUGCGGGAUGAAGGGCUUCGGCCUGUAAACCGCUUUUAUUUGGGAAGAAGUGCAAACUGACGGUACCAAAUGAAUAAGAGGUUGCUAACUCUGUGCCAGCAGCAGCGGUAAUACAGAGACCUCAAGCGUUAUCCGGAUUUAUUGGGCGUAAAGCGUCCGCAGGUGGUUUAUUAAGUCAUAGGUCAAAUCCCGGGGCUCAACCCCGUAACUGCCCUUGAUACUGAUAAACUUGAGGCCAGAAGAGGCAAGCGGAAUUACAGGUGUAGCGGUAAAAUGCGUUUAUAUCUGUAAGAACACCAAAGGCGAAAGCAGCUUGCUGGAAUGGUCCUGACACUCAUGGACGAAAGCGUGGGGAGCGAAAAGGAUUAGAUACCCUUGUAGUCCACGCCCUAAACGAUGUGUGCUGGAUAUUGAAAGUAUCGACCCUUUCAGUGUCGUCAAAAAAAGCUAACGCGUUAAGCACACCGCCUGGGGAGUACGGUUGCAAGACUAAAACUCAAAGGAAUAGACGGGGACCCGCACAAGCGGUGGAACAUGUGGUUUAAUUCGACGGUAAACGAAGAACCUUACCAGGGCUUGAAAUUGUAGGAGUAUACCUGAUGAAAGUCGGGUGGACCGUUAAAUCGGAUCCUAUGACAGGUGCUGCAUGGUUGUCGUCAGCUCGUGCCGUGAGGUGUACCCUUAAGUGGGGUAACGAGCGCAACCCCUGUGUCGUGUUGUAAUUUCACGACAGACUGCCACGGUCAACGUGGAGGAAGGCGGGGAUGACGUCAAAUCAGCAUGGCCCUUACGUCCUGGGCUACACACGUGUUACAAUGGUUGGUACAAUGGGUCGCCAAGUCGCAAGACGGAGCUAAUCCCACCAAAGCCAAUCUCAGUUCGGAUCGAAGUCUGCAACUCGACUUCGUGAAGCUGGAAUCGCUAGUAAACGCCGGUCAGCUAUACGGCGUUGAAUACGUUCUCGGGUCUUGUACUCACCGCCCGUCACACCAAGAGAGUCGGUAAUGCCUGACGCGGCCCUUUGGGGUCACCAAGGUAGGAUCGAUGAUAAGGGUGAAGUCGUAACAAGGCA
rnacentral:rRNA from 1 species